rnacentral:lncRNA from 1 species
GGUGAUGCAGGUAAGAAGUCAGACGCCAAGGCUCAAGCCUUAAAGGCGGCCAAGGCUGUAAAAGCAGGUGCAACAACCUUUAAGAAGAAGGCCAAGAAAAUACGCACUAAAGUUACCUUCUAUCGGCCGAAGACAUUGACAAAGGAAAGGAAUCCCAAGUAUCCUCGCAUUAGUGCUGUUCCUCGCAACAAACUUGACCACUACCAGAUUCUUAAAUACCCUCUCACCACAGAGUCUGCAAUGAAGAAAAUUGAAGAUAACAACACACUAGUUUUCAUUGUUGACAUUCGUGCUGAUAAGAAAAAGAUCAAAGCCGCUGUCAAGAAAAUGUAUGACAUCCAGACGAAGAAAGUGAACACCCUUAUCAGGUGAACAAUGAUUCCAUCAAUCUUUCUGCAAUUUACAUGUUGCAUCUGAACUGUUGGCCUGUGAUUGUGUCUUAACUUUUGUCUCAUAAUAUGUUUAGGUUUUUCAAUGUUACUACUUUCAUCUAGAAGUUUUAGUGAUAAACAACAUUAGCUUGAAAAUUUGAAUAUCGUGUGCAUCUGAACUAUUGCUUGAAGCUGGGUAAUGCAGUCAUAGUAUGCAAGAUGACUUUGUUUAGAAGUUAUCUAUCAUCCAUUCAUGCUACUUUGUGUAACAAACAAGGUAUCAAAUUCAUUUUUUGCUUCAUGGUAACUGACUUAUGAUCUGAUCUGUUUCAGGCCGGAUGGAACUAAGAAGGCAUAUGUUAGGUUGACACCUGAUUAUGAUGCUCUGGAUGUUGCUAACAAAAUAGGAAUCAUCUAAAUGGUAGACGAUCAAUUUUUGCAUCUAAGCCUUUCUUUUGGGCAUUGGACCAGAAUACUUUCGAUUUUGUACUCCAAAGUUUGUUAUUUGAUUUAGAUGUUGGAGCUUUAGACUGAAUGGUGCAAGUUAUGGAGAGAUUUUGAUUAGAUUGACUUAGUUUAUUUAUUUUUCCAUGGUUUCUGCCAUUUUCAAAUCCUUUUAAAUCUGCUUUCCAAGAUACACUAGUUCUAUUACUAUAAAGAUUCUUUGCAUAUCUUUUUCCUAUUAUCGAACAUGUUAGGUACUCCCCCUCAAAAAAAGAACAUGAUUGGUAGUGUAAUCAACAUAAAUUUACUGCAAAUGUCUAGCCAUUACUCAUAAUACUUUCAUUGUUUGGUUAUCUACAGUUCAUUUCCUCUGCCUUAUCUCCCACAACGCCUCCUACGUCCCCGCAACAGAUUCACGGUUUCCUCGUUCUUUUCUGAUUAGCUUAUCAUGGUGUUCCAAUAAAUCACAUUUCGCUAGGACCGAACCGAAACUGGACUGAAACUGCCAUCGGUUCUCUGUCCGAUUCGGUCCAAAACCGCAAUUUUCGGCAGUUCGUGAAAAAAACAAAAAAAAUCACAUUUUUAAACAUAUUUUAACCUGUUUAACAAUAAUAAUUCAAUACACCAAAAAUUCAUAAAAUAAAAUCUAUAAACUAACUCCAAUAAAAAGCUACAAAGUCCAUAAUCAAGUAUAUUUGAUUUUAGAAAUUAAUGUUUCAAUUCAAAAUUCAAAAUAUUUGAUUUUAGAAAUUAAUUAAAAUAUUAUUAAUAUUAAUAAAAAUAUAAAAUAUAUAUUUAAUGUGUAUAUUCGGUUCGGUUUUCGUCGGGUUUGGCCUUCCCGGAACCGAAAUCGAACCGAUAAACUAUUGGUCCAUCAAAAAAGAAUCGGACCGGACCAAUAAGUAGACCAAAACCGACAAAAUCGAUCGGUUCGGUCUGGUUCAAUUUUUUGCUAACCCCUAGCAUCAAGUUUAGCUACCUCCUUCAGCUCCGGCCAGUACCUGUCCUCCUUAUUGCCGACUAACAGCGACCUCACCUGGGUCUCCUGCUCCGCGUGCUGCCCACCCCCUUCCACCCUCACAGCUCCGCCACCAUUUUAGACAAACAAGAAACAUUAAUUAAACAACUUUAUUAAUAUAUAUAUAUAUAUAUAUAUAUAUAUAUAUAUACACACACACACACACAGGGACACACACAUAAGCAGUGGAGGGCUACAGUAAAAACACUUCUUAAAAUAUAAAUAAAAUUAUUUUUUAAUGUACGAAUUUUAUCAACAGGGUUACGAAUUCAUCCAACAGGGUUACGAAUUGUGAAAAAUAAAUUUUUGCUAACUUUGGGAUUCGAAUCCAGAACCACAAAUUCAUCCAACAUGGUUACGAAUCAACCGUAGAUCUUGAUGAUCUAAGGGCUGAAAAUUAUUUAUAUUUUAUAUUUUAAAAAGUGUUUUUAUUUUAGCCCUCCCCUAUAUUUAUUAUCUAUUAUCUAUAUAUAUAUAUAUAUAUAUAUAUACACACACACACACAUAUAUAUAUAUAUAUAUAUAUAUAUAUAUAAGUGUAGGAUCCACAUAUUUUGAAGGGUUAAUAUAUAGAAUCAACUAUUUUGAUACAAGGAAGAUUAAAAUAGUCGCAAUUAUAACAAUAUAUAAAAUAUGACUAUUUUUUUUAAUGUGAUAAUAUUAUUCUUCAUUGAACUCAAAAUGAGGAAUGUAAAAUAGUACUCCCUUCGUCCCAGCUUUUAGUAUCCAACUUUCAUUUUUUGGUCGUCCCACAUUUUAGUAUCCAUUUCUAUUUUUGGUAAAAGUAGGUGGGGCCCUUACUCCACUUUAAUUAUUUUAACUCUCACAUAAAAUGUGGGACCCUUAUUCCACUCACAACACAUCAAUCACUUUAUUAAAACCCGUGCCGUUCUCAACUGGAUACCAAAAGCCGGGACGGAGGGAGUAUUUUUUUUUUUUUUGUAGAAAAUGAAGAAAUCAAAUGAGAGAAUUAAGGGNNNNNNNNUUUUUCAUGAUAAAUUUACAGCCAAAAGAGAAAUGUACAAUAUUAAAUUUAAUACUCCUUCUGUCCUACUAGAAUAGACUCGUUUUCUAUUUUGGGAUUCCCCACUAGAAUAGUCUCGUUUUUCCAUUUUGAGAGAUUAACAAUAUUCAUUACAUGCUUAAUUGGUGUGGACUAUGUCAUUUUUCCCUUCAUAAGUAAGUUUCUUAAUAUCCAUACUCAAAAGAAAUUAAACUUAUUUUAAUGGGAUGAAUGAACUAUUAAGUUAAAAUAAAUAAAAAGAAAAUAGAAUUAGUUACUCAGUCCGUCUAUGAAAAAAAAGUCUUAAUUUAUCAUUUUCGUCCAACCACAAAAAAAAAAUUGUAACUUCUUUUUUCAAAUAAUCUCACUACUAUUACUUUUAAAAUUGUUACAUAUUUACACAUAUUAUAAUUCAUUAAUCCACCAUCUUUUAAUUUGUGGAUCAUUUCUCUCCCUAAUUUUCUCCAUCUUUUUUAAUUUGUGGAACUUUUGAUCUCCUCACUCCAUAAACAAGUAACUUUACUUAGGGGUGGACCGAUACGAUAUGCAAAAAAAAAUUCGUCAUACCGUAUAUUGUACCGUAAAUUGCGGUAUGAGAUUUUUCAUACCGUUGCCGUACCAAACUCUUCGGUAUAUUGAAGAUCGGUGUACCGAAAAAUUUGGUAUGAACUUUUUCAUGCUGAUAUCGUACCAAUAGUGCGGUAUACCGUACCAAAAUUAUUGAUAUAUUGUUUCAUGUCUAAAUUAUCAAAAUUAUUAAUGAAUUUAUAUUUUGUAAGUUGUCAUUAAUUCUUUAAUAAUUAUGAUUUAUAUAUAUAUAUAUAUAUAUAAUUUAUCACUAAUUAUAUAUAUACAUAUAUAAAUUAUUUCAAUCGAUACGGUAUGCCGGUUUGAUAUAUACCGAAAUAAUUGGUAUAUACCGAUUUUUCAAUAUAUACCGUGGUAUUGGUAUAUAACGGUAUAUUGCGGUAUGAGGAAAAUUGAUAAUGUUAUCGCACCGAAAUUUUUCGAUACGGUAUCAUGUCGUACCGAAAUUUACAGUAUACCAAAAGUUUGAUAUUUUCGAUAUUUUUUCAAUACGAUAAGUGUGAUAUACCGAUUUUUCAUUAGUUUGGUCCACCCCUAACUUUGCUUAUAAUUCAUGCCAACUUUCAUUAAGAUUUCUCUUUGUGCAGGCAAUGAAUAGUACUCCAUCCGUCCUAUUAAUUAAGACACACUUUCUUUAUUGUGUUGUCCCACUAAUAAAGACACACUUCUAAAUAAGGAACUAAUUAGGGAAUAAGAAUACUUAAUUAACUACACCUUAAUUACAUUAUAAAUACGAAACAAAACCCUAAAUUCUUUCUUUAUGUCUCUGCCUCUCCGCAACUCUCUCUGCCUUCUCCGGCCGAUGGCGGCUCCGGCGCCGCGCCCUGACCGCCUUCCUUCCUCCCCUCGCAUAUCUCUCUGUCCGACCCCUCUCUCUUUUCCCUCUCGGUUCUCCCCAUCUCUCUCGCUCAUCUCUCUUUCUCUAGACCUCUGUGUAUGCCGCCGCCGCCUUCUCCGACCAAACAGUCGCCACACAUCCUCUCCUAUUCUCCGGCGGAUCUGGUUCUAGUGGCUAGGGUUUGCAGGGGCGUUGGAUUUUGGGCGAGAGGCGUUCGAUUUUUGGGUGAGAACCCCUCCGCCUUGUUUCUGGAAUCCUUUCGACUUGGUUCGAUUUUGGGCGAGAGGCGUUCGAUAUUAGGCUUCUCACAAUAGCUAUUGUUGUAAGUAGUUACAUAUAUGAAAGAAUUUUGAUUCAUUGAAAUAAUUAAGGAUAAAAAGGUUGUGAUUGUGCGAAGUGCAACAGGGGAUUUUGAGGUCUGGAGUGAUGUUCACUCUGGUGGCGUGGUGGGAGAAGACCAUUGUUCGUGUCGUGUCGGUGUUCAACCCUUUGCUGCUUGUGAUUGUGACCAUUGCAAGAUCCUUGAUUUUGGAAGAGAAACAGUAAUUUUAAAAAAAUUACAAACAGAAAAAUCGAAAAUAAAAAGAAUAAUUAAAUUAAUUAAAAAUUUCAAAAUUCUGAAUUUUAAAAAAAAAUCAAUAUAAAAUGUAAAAUAAAAGUAAAUUAAUUCAAUAAACAAAAUUUAAUCAAUUGCACUAAUGACGUGGGCUUCAAUCCUUUAUCACUUAAAAUACCUCUCUUUAAUUGCUGUGUCCAAAUGAAGUGUGUCUUCAUUAUUGGGACGGAUGGAGUAUUUAACACGAAAAGAAAACCCUAACCCUAAUUAAUUACUUGUCCCCCCAUUCAGCCCACGCCGCACACCAUCUCGUCGCUUCCAUCCGCGGUGAAGAAAGUAAGCAACGUCUUUUCCAUUCUUCACUCUGCAUCUCGCAACCGCCUCCGUCAAGUUAAUCCCUUGCUCCAUUUUUUGUUGUUUCUUAGUUUAGUCAUCGCUCUAUUGCGUUCUUCUUCACCGUUUAUUAACUAGUCUCUUCCAUUUAUUUGACGCUAAAAUGCCGAUAUCCUCAAUUUGUCAUUGAAUCGUAUUAAAUACUCCAUUUUCCCCAUUUUUCUGGAGCAGAAAAUGCUCAAACUUGUAUGUCUGCUUGCUGGCUUUUUGGAUUUUCUUUGUUAAAGUUAUGUCAAUUGAAGUGCUUGAAACGGGAAAGUGAAUUUCUUUGUUACAAAUUUCUACUUGUGACCUGCGAAUUUGAAUAUGAGUUUAGCUCAAUGCAUUUACCUAGGUGUGAAAUAUCCCGGGAAAGGGUUGAGUUAUAGCUAUUGGGUUAUCUAAUUUGUAUGUUUGUACAGGUAAAAAGUUGCAUUAGGGUUACUUCCGUCUCAAAUGGCUCCAGCUAAAGGUACGAUAGUAUUUCUAUUUAGGUUUCAGAUUUUCAGAAUAUUGUUGUCUUUGUGGUAGAAAUUCUGAAUUGCUUCUUACAAUUUCGGGAAAGCAGCUACAAACUGCAAUUCUAAUAAUCAAAAUUUGGGGUGAAUGUUAUUUGAAUGAGCUGUUGCUUGAAGAGUAGAUUAAUAGAUAUUUCAGGAAUUGGUCCGAUAAUAUGUGAGAAUGAAAUCAGUAUUUUGUUUGGCUGCAUUGUGAGGUUGACUUAGAAUUGCAUUUUUAUCCAUGAUUAAACCUUGAUACAAUAUUGUGAGAGACCCCUGUCCUACAGUGGUUAGAGUUAUCAUUUAUUUAUGAUAUUUAUAUAAAACACUCUUUAACAUGGCAUAUAUGUAUCCAUCUACCUGGUUGUUUCUGGUUUAUCAUUGUGUUUCUUGCUAAACUACAAAUUAUCAUGAUAUUAAAACUGUAACUACAGUUUUCUCUCAUCCAACUUUUCUCUCAUUCAAUUUGGGUUGGUAAUCAUUAUAUUCCCAUUUCCCAAUUGGUUUUAGCCAUUACUUACCGUUGUUGAUGGGCACUACUGAUUUGGGGUAAGAGGGUCUUUAUUGUUAUGGAAAUCUAGCCCCUUCUUUUGUUUGUUUGCUAAUUUUCGCUUUUGCUUGUAUAUCUACAGGUGAUACAGGUAAGAAGUCAGAUGCCAAGGCUCAAGCCUUAAAGGCGGCCAAGGCUGUAAAAGCAGGUGCAACAACCUUUAAGAAGAAGGCCAAGAAAAUACGCACUAAAGUUACCUUCUAUCGGCCGAAGACAUUGACAAAGGAGAGGAAUCCCAAGUAUCCUCGCAUUAGUGCUGUUCCUCGCAACAAACUUGACCACUACCAGAUUCUUAAAUACCCUCUCACCACAGAGUCUGCAAUGAAGAAAAUUGAAGACAACAACACACUAGUUUUCAUUGUUGACAUUCGUGCUGAUAAGAAAAAGAUCAAAGCCGCUGUCAAGAAAAU